UAAUCUUGAAUUUCUCCAUGAUUCAACCUUCAAAAACCAUUUUUCACGCCUCCAACAUAUUUAUAUUAAUAAAUUACAAAAAUAAUACUAGACAAAUAAGCCAAAACCAUAUACUUAAUACUAAUAUUGUAGCACAUGUAUACUUAGGUGAGUUUUGUUUUUCUUUUCUUUUCACAAGUCCCCGAAAAAGAAAGGCUUUACCAUUUUUAGAUCAUAAAAACACUUUGCUGGAUAAGCUAACUUUCCAACAAAUUUCCAUGGAUAAAAGGAUUCAUAUCGCAGUUGUUGCAGGUGUUGGAUAUAGCCACUUGGUACCUAUUCUUCAAUUCUCCAAACUACUUGUUCACCUUCAUCCAUACUUUCAUGUCACAUGUUUCAUUCCUACACUUGGGUCUCCACCAACUGCCUCUAAAACAAUCCUUCAAACUCUUCCAUCAAACAUCAACUGUACAUUUCUUCCACCAGUGGAUCCCAAGGACCUAUCACUGCCACAAGGUUCUGCUUUAGCAUUGCAACUUCAGCUCACAGUGAACCACUCAUUGCAAUCUAUACACCAGGCUUUGAAAUCAUUAACUUUAACGACACGCUUUGUUGCCUUGGUGGUUGAUUCAUUCGCCACCGAAGCACUAGAUUUGGCUAAGGAAUUCAACAUGUUGUCCUAUGUUUACUUUCCUUCUGGAGUCACCGCUUUGUCCUCGUACUUGAAUUUUCUCAAAUUGGAUAAGGAAACAUCAUGUGAGUACAGAGAUCUGCCGGAUGCUAUUCAAAUACCAGGUUGUGUGCCAAUUCACGGUCGGGAUCUAGUUGAUCAAGCUCAAGAUAGAUCAAGUCAAUCUUACAAAUUCUUACUCCGACGUGUUGAAAGAUUUCGUCUUUUUGAUGGUGUUAUUGUUAAUAGCUUUCUAGAAAUUGAAAAAGGUCCUAUAGAAGCAAUGACAGAAGAAGGAAGUGAAAACCCUCCUUUGUAUGCUGUUGGACCCAUUAUCCAAAUGCAAACAAAGUAUGGUGAUGAUGCUAAUAGGUUGUUGGAAUGUCUGUCAUGGUUGAAUAAACAACAACCCUGUUCAGUUUUAUAUGUUUCUUUCGGGAGUGGUGGCACGCUUUCGCAAGAACAAAUUUAUGAAUUAGCUUUGGGUUUGGAAUUGAGUGAUCAUAAAUUCUUAUGGGUUGUAAGAUCACCAAGUAGUGCAGCCAACACUGCAUAUCUUUCACCACAAAAUGAGGUUGAUCCUUUGAAAUUUCUACCAUCUGGAUUUUCUGAGAGGACCAAAGAAAAAGGUUUGGUCAUUCCAUCAUGGGCACCCCAGAUUCAAAUCCUUAGUCACAGUUCAGUUGGCGGGUUCUUGACUCACUGUGGUUGGAAUUCAACCCUUGAGAGUGUGGUGCAUGGUGUGCCACUAAUCACAUGGCCUCUUUUUGCCGAGCAGAGAACGAAUGCGGUUUUUCUGAGUGAAGGCCUCAAAGUGGGACUAAGGCCAAGACUUAAUAAGAAUGGUAUUGCGGAAAAAGAUCAAAUUGCUAGGUUGAUCAAGUGUCUCAUGGAAGGGGAAGAAGGCGGGGAAAUGCGCAAUAGAGUGAAAGAAUUGAAAGAAGCUGCUAAUAGUGCACUUAAAGAAGAUGGCUCUUCUACAAAGACUCUAUCUCAAUUAGCACUCAAGUGGAGAAAUUUGGUAUAAAAAAACAAGCUUUUUUGAUAAAAUAUGCACUAUUAUUGGAUCUUGCAUAUUUCUUAGUACUUUCUGUUGAUAACUAGACUAUGCUCAUUACAAGCUUCUGGUGUAUACUUUGAUAAACUGGUAUAAGAUAAAGGCAACCCAUGAACUAAAGCAAUUGUAACAAUUUACAGGCUGAACAUAACUGAAUCACAAAUUUGAAAUUGAAAAAGAGAGCACAAGGGGUGGCUACUAGUUCACGUAUAAAACACAAUGGGUUGUUGGUUCAAAUUGACAUUUUGCAACAAAUCGAAAGCAGAGUUUUGGGCCGGAGUAGAGUAAACAGAAUGUUGGGUCCAAAAUAGAGGUGGAGUUCAAUGCGUGGUUGAAUAUUUGAUUGAAGCUAGGUUCAUGAUGAUGUUUGAAACUGUAUUUAUGUCUUGAAUCAAAGGAAUUGUGUUCUUUCUGGUACUUGGACACUGUAUUUGCAGAGAAUUUUAUACUAAGGGCAUUUUAUGGUUUCAUAGCAAUACAAUAUUUUUGUUAUGUCA